UACAGAGGGUGCGAGCGUUAAUCGGAAUUACUGGGCGUAAAGCGCACGUAGGUGGCGACGUAAGCCGGGUGUGAAAGCCCCGGGCUCAACCUGGGAAUUGCAUUCGAGACUGCAUUGCUGGAGUACGGAAGAGGAAGGCGGAAUUCCCGGUGUAGCGGUGAAAUGCGUAGAUAUCGGGAGGAACAUCAGUGGCGAAGGCGGCCUUCUGGUCCAGUACUGACACUCAAGUGCGAAAGCGUGGGGAGCAAACAGG
rnacentral:rRNA from 1 species